rnacentral:rRNA from 1 species
UACGUAGGGUGCGAGCGUUAAUCGGAAUUACUGGGCGUAAAGCGUGCGCAGGCGGUUCGUUGUGUCUGAUGUGAAAUCUCCGGGCUUAACCCGGAAAGUUCAGCCGAUACUGCGGGGCUAGAGUGCAGAAGAGGUUAACGGAACUCCAUGUGGAGCGGUAAAAUGCGUAGAUAUAUGGAAGAACAUCAAUAACGGCGAAGGCAGUUAACUAUUCUGUUACUGACAUUGAGGCACGAAAGCGUGGGGAGCAAAACGG